UGUAUUAGCAUAGCGUGCUAACUAGUAAUAUGGCGCAACAACAUAACCUAACUGCUAACUCACAUUUAAAUAACAAUCAACUCAAUGAUUGGAGUUUAAACCAACUCAUAACAGUCCCUAACUUUAAUUCACUCUAACAAUACACUAAUAAUAUUUCUGCAACACUAACAUCCAUUAGUUCCAACACUCUAACAUUCCAACUAAAUUUCUAACAUUUAACCGGUUCAUAACUAACUGUCAACAUUUCAAUUUCAAUUAAUUAUCAUCACAAUCUCUCUGCACCAAAUCAAACAAAUCAGUUCUAAAAAUUACAACUUAUUAACAAUUAAUUACUUUACCAAUUUAAACCAAAUAUCUCUAAUUGCUUUAUCAAUUCAAAUAGAUACAAAUAACUGGUUUUGAACUAACUCAUUUUUCUAACCUACGAUAACAAUUGGUGCUAACAGGAUUGAACCUCUUCAUUAAUUGAAUCUAACUAAUUCAUUUUACUAAUAGAGUUUCAAUUAAAUUAGGACACAUCAUAAUUAAAUUUAACAGUUCCUAAUAGAGUUAAUCUUCCCUAACAGAACUACACGAACUUCCCCAAUCAGUUACGUGAAAUAACUCUAUAUAACUUAUCAUUGAGCUCAAUUAUCGGGGAUUAACACAGAAUCAUUACACAAUCAAUCACUCCCUCACUGAAAUUCGGAAUCUCACCCUCACUGUGCUCCUCCCUACAACCAUUUCUCUCAAACUCAUUCAUCUCAUAAUCUCACUCUCCAUCACUCAUCUCUGAAUAUCACAUAGAAGCAGCACAUCACAUCACCUACAAACUAUGUGGUAGAGAAGAAGAAUAAGGUUGUAGUGGAUUAGGAAUCGGAGUGUUUACCAUAUUCAAAGUGCCCAUGGAUUUCUUAUCAUCUUCGUCUUAAAGUCUUUCAACCUUGACCGGAGCAAUUCACCACUCUGAAGGGGAGGAAUCAGAGGAAAACAAUGUGAGAACGAAAGAGGGUGGAGAGACGGUUCGAUUGGUGCAAGGUUGAGUGUGGUUGGACCUCCACCGCCACUGGAGGUGAUUUUCGGUGCGGCGAAGUUGUGAUUCCAGGUUAUCUCAGGCUUGUUGUGUGAAGACCUUGGCAUGGAACAAGGCAUGGAGCAAGUCAUGGUAUAGUGAAGAAUCAUCAAGAAUCAUGAAGACUUGAAGUUUGUAGAGGUUCACGGGAAUGGGAAUAACUUGUGAAUGAAGAAAAUGUAGGAAUUAGGAUUAGGAUUAGUGUUGACUUUGUUCAACUAUUUGACCAAAAAGUCAACAGUUGAUCAAAGUCAAUUGUAGGUCAAAAGGUGAAACUUUGUGUAAUUUUGUAUGGACUUUGUAGUUUUUGGUCUUGUGUAAUGGAAUGGAUAUCUUGGCAACGAAAUGGACUUUUAUUUAA